CUUGUCAAUUUAAGUGAAAGUAUUUUGUGAAAAGGCACAGGCGACGGAAAGGAUGAACCACCAUAAGAUACAUGUGGCCAGGAUGCAGUCAAAGGAUAAAAAGACUACAAACAUGCGGUCAUGAUCUCUGAGAAAAAAGUUGAUAGAAUCACGAUAAAACAUUUUAAACGUGAAAACAACAAGGUUGUGGAAAAAAUAACAUUUGGAGCGACAGUGUGAAUAUCUAAUGCAACUUAGCUUUUCUGUGUACUGUAAAGGCUCUGAACGACAAUCCAGACAAAACACCCAGUGGACUGAAACACCGGCCUCUUUCACCUGUAGGUCACCGAGUUCAGCUUUUUAAUAGACUUUGCACACAUUCAAUUGAUUGAAGUCUUUCUGAAAAUGCCCAGACAGCUACCAGCUCAUUUGUCUGAUCUGCUAAACAGACUAAGCGAAAAUGGGAAAUUAUUUAUUGAACAGUAUGAAAGGAAAAAAGAAAGAAUGCAAGCCAUUGCAGGUGAACUUGAGGGAAUAUCUAAAGAAGUAAAAGAAAUACAGAAAAUCACAAACACAACCAGAAUGGUGGGGGCAGUUUUAGGAGGAGUUGGAAUAGCUGUGGGAAUAGCUGCAGCUUUGCAUACAGGAGCUGAAAAAUUGGCAAUACUAGGAGGCACUGCAGCACUUGGUGGAGGUGGAGCUGUUAUUAUAGCAAAUGUAACCAAGUCAGCAGCAGAGGUUACAAGUGUAAAAACUGUGGAAGAGUUGGGAAAAGAAUUCACAGAAAUUGUUGAUAUACAAAAAGAUGUCCUGGAAAAAAUUAAGGAGGUCUCUGAGGAGUUGGAGGAAAAAUCAUCCUCAUUAAUGACAAGAACUAGAGACCCAGACAGAAGAAGUCUGUUGAAAAUAGAACAACUUCAGCAGGUUCUUGAACAAACAGCUGAACUGUCAAAAAGGAGCAGGGAAGUUAUGGAUGUGACUCUGACCAUGCUGAGGCAAGUGAGGGAACUAUUAGACUUCAUUAUCAAUAUCACCCGAAUCACUCCGACCUCUGAGGAGGAUGCAAAGUUUAGAAACUGUAUCACAGAUUCUGCCUUGCUGUGUGAGAAAACUGUUCAUGAGUUUGCAAAGAUGAGGAAUACGCUCAAGGACUUCGAGGAAAUGCAAAGAGAAUAGGAAUGUGCAACAUUCAAUCAUUGAAAUAAAGCACAGGGUUUUACACAACUGGCUCUUAAAGUCCAUCUGAAAUCACAUGUAGUCAUCCCUUUUUGCAGUCAAAAAUAAUAACAUGUUUAUAUAUUUAUUGUUAAAAGUUUUUUAUUAUUAUUUUAAAGGGAAGAAAGGGUAUUUAGAGAAAUAUCAGAAAUGUUCCUUUAUGUCUCAGCUGGCUUGAGGGGCGUGUCAGUGUCUGUGUUUGAUUGACAGCAGCUUGCAGGCUGAGCCCCGGCAGGGGAACCAAAGACAUACUAAGAAAACGUACUCUGUAGUCUAUAGGUCAUGGCAGACGGUGUGUCGUUAGAGGUAUUGAAGAGUAAAGACAACACUAGCCUGUAACUGCGCCGAAGUGAUUAGCUGAGCAGCUAAUUAGCUAUCUAGUCUGCAUACUGAUAUUAGCAGUGCACUUUUCCCCGGUAAAUGUUUAUUUGGUGUCUUGUUCAACAAGCUAAGGUACAGGACAAUACUUGUGUUCGUUUUUGUGAGUUAAAUAAGAAGGAAACUUUAGCAGGAAAGCUAAUGUGUUUGUUCAGAGUCUCUCGCUCUUGUGUUGUGUAGCGUGCUGCUGUCUGGCUCAGUGUGACCGUCUGCUCUAUCUAUGAUAGAACACUGUCAUUACUGCUUUAUGGAAAGAUUUGAUUGGUCGCAUGGAAGCAAAUUCUCCAUCUGUGUAGAUGGAGAAUGUAUGUUGUUCUGACAAAUAAACGCAAAAAUAAUUGGCGGCACCGUGAAGCCAAAAUUUCAUCGAAAAGUGAUUUACAGAGCAGGUAUGUAAGCUGUUGCAGACCAAAAAAUGUAAUUUAAUUUCAGUUGAGCUUUAAGUAAAGGACUAAUAUUGGGACUUAAAGAAUGAAUUUAAAGACACACAUUGUACAUAUUUGGAGCAAUAGAGUGAAGGGUUUAGCUCACUUGUGUUCACUCAGACUUUUUUGUAUUCAUUCAAUCAGGUCAUGUAUGAAUGUAUCUUUAUUGUCUGUACUUUCUUUUAGAAAAGACAAUGGGUGUAAAAACAAGUUUUUUUCUACUUAAUAUUUAUUUUAAUUUAAUAUUUUUGGGUAAGGCAGCAUAAACAUUGCACAUUUUCGUAUUCGUAUUUUUUCUUUCACCAGUUCGUAUUUUUAUUGUGUUUUUCUUUGCUUUUAAGGUCCAGUUUGUAGCAUUUUGGAGGAUCUAUUAGCAUAAAUGGUAUAUAGUAUUCAUAACUAUGUUUUCUUUAGUUUAUAAUCACUUAAAAUUAAGAAUUGUUGUGUUUUCAUUUAAAAAUAUUUCCCCAUCUACAUAUACAGUAGGGUUGAAAUGAAAGUGAUCUGUCUUGAUUUGACAAGCGCUAUAUGAAAACGUUUUACUUUUUUUAUAACAUACAGUAUGAUUUCAUGUUUUACAACUUAUUGUUUCAUAACAUUUUGUUUGCUGAAUAUAUAAAUAGCUGUCACAGGCAUUUGUCAAAUACCUGUGUAGUCAGCUGAUUAUUCAUAGCCAACAUUGUUUAAAACCGGUUCAACCUGUCCAUGACCAGAGAUGCUGUUCCUCAGUGAGCGUCAUCAUACAGCUUCCAGACAAUUCUGUCAUUGUGUUCUUAGAAUAAAGAAUACAUGAAAACUUUACCCUUAUACUUAUUCGACUUCUAAGAGUAGCUAGUGAGCUGGGAAGGACUGUCAUGGCUAAAGCCAGAUGGCAGAAGCUACAGUUACGAACUUGGUAUCCUGUAUUUGAGAUUAAAGUAGUUAGCCUUACUGCUAAUAGUAGCCUAUAGUUAAUAAGUUAUAGACAUUAAUCACCCAUUGCUGAAAUGUCACGUUGCAUGUACUGUAUAUUAAAGUAGACACUAUUGCUAAUAUGAUUUAAAUGACAGCCCUCCUGCUAUUAAAUUAUCAAUAAGUGUGUAGCUAGCAAGUU